rnacentral:rRNA from 1 species
AGCAGUCGCCGCGGGAAUACGGAGGAUCCAAGCGUUAUCCGGAUUUAUUGGGUUUAAAGGGUGCGUAGGCGGCUCAUUAAGUCAGGGGUGAAAGACGGUAGCUUAACUAUCGCAGUGCCUUUGAUACUGAUGAGCUUGAAUGUAGUUGAGGUAGGCGGAAUGUGACAAGUAGCGGUGAAAUGCAUAGAUAUGUCACAGAACACCAAUUGCGAAGGCAGCUUACUAAAGUAUGAUUGACGCUGAGGCACGAAAGCGUGGGGAUCAAACAGGAUUAGAUACCCCAGUAGUCCCUGUCUCUUAUAC